GGAGGAUUGGCCGAGAGGCAAGGCACCGGCUUGCUGAGCCGUGGUCGGGGUGACCCCCCGCGCACGUUCGAUCCGUGCAUCCUCCGCGA
rnacentral:tRNA from 1 species